GGGAGUGUGCAAAAUUUGUCAAAAGUGGCCCUUUAUUGUAAAACGACACGAGAGCUAAUGCUGCAUGCCCGUUGCUGCCUGAAUCAGAAGGGCACCAUCUUGGGGCUGGAUCUCCAGAACUGUUCUCUGGAGGACCCUGGUCCAAACUUUCAUCAGGCACAUACCACUGUCAUCAUGUAAGUAGUUAGGUACCUCCCA
rnacentral:sRNA from 1 species